GCAUAAGUUGGAUGAUCCUUCAUUUUAUUCUCCCUUGCAAGCAGCAAUUUUCAUGGGAUUUUACUUUUGGUUGCCACUACUUACUGCAUCAAAUAGUCCAAGGACAGGACGGUAAAGAUAAUGUGUGGAUCAGUCAAAUGCACAUGCACCUUUGUUCGCGGCCAAAUAAAUACCGGCUCCAUUCUCUCUUCUAGUCUUCUUCAUAAUUUUACGUUGUACACUUUUUAUUUUCUUUUUCUACGCUACACACUUUUGUUUUUCAUUUUUUCAUCUCUUUCAAUUCUAAUUAAGCCGUUUGCAAUUCUCUUAAGAAAUUAAAAAAUGUCGAAGAGUCUUACUUUCAUCAUUUUGGCUUUGCUUGUAGUGGCAAACACUAAAAACAUGCUUAUUUCAGCCAGUAGAACUGGCCAAGGAUCUGAGCCAGAGGCUUUAUUUUCUAUUAACCCUGCAGCAUCACC
rnacentral:lncRNA from 1 species